rnacentral:rRNA from 1 species
AUGCCGGCUCUGCGCACUCCUAGUCAGACUGCCAACUGGCUGGAGGUCGCAGCUGGCCGUCUUAAGGCUUGGAAGGGUUCCUCGACCCAGGAUGGAGCGCGUCGGGCCUUGGAAUUCGUCAAGGCUUGGUAUCCAGGGCUGGACCUGGACCGGCUGGCCGCGUUCCGGUCAGAGGCCCAGACAGAGCUGGUGGCUGUGGAAGGCGUCCUCGUCGAGCGUGCGGCGGCGAUUGCCGACUACACCAACACCAGCGUCUUCGUUCCUAAGCGGGCCGUGAACGGCGAGGAGGUGCCACCGGAGUGGUUCGGGAUGAACCCGGACUAUGACGAGGACUCGGCGGAGGUGAUCGGCUCCAGCGCCGAGGAGGAAGAAGAGGCGGAGGACGGAGGCGAGACGGAGGCGCCAGAAGACGGAGCGGACGACCAGUCUCAGCUCGACCGCGCCUCCAGCAACGAGUCGCGUCCGACUGAGCCGGCCGCCGCCGUAGACGAUCAAACUGAGACUGCCCAGCCGGCCGCUCCGGGGCCUGACACCGCCGUCUCCGCCGACCCUCCGAAUCCGUCUGCCGCUUCUUAG